GUGCCCUACACAAAGCAACAGUGAAGGCAGAUUCACCCGGAAAAGAAUGCUGGGAGAGGGGCGUAAGACAGAAUGAUGCAACCCAGGUCUUGUAUACCAGUGAAACUACUGAUGCCAGCUGGUCUAGAGGAAUCCAAGAGAAGCUGAUUCACCAAAGAAGGCUGUUUCCAGAUCAUGAUGAUUUCAUCCAUCCUACCUUGACCAAUCAAUGAUCCCAAUUUUCCAGUUACUUGCCCUCUACAAUCCCCUUAAAAGUCCCAGCCCAGAACUUCUCAGGGAGAUGGAUUUGAGGGUCCCUCCCAACUCCUUGCUUGGUUACCCUGUGAUCAUUAAACUCUUUCUCUGCUGCAAACCCUGUUGUCUUGGUGUAUUGGUUUGUUCCAGUGCAAUGGGCAUAUGAACUCGUUGGUCCUGUAACAAACUCUGCUGUUGUAGCAUGAAAGCUGCCAUAGAUAAUACAUAAAUGAACAUGUGUAGCUGUAUUC
rnacentral:lncRNA from 1 species